UGSCCUUCUCGUUCCCAAUUUCAUUCAGAAGGCGGGAACGCGCCGCGGAGGUCCGUUCUGACUUCAUAGCCCUAGUCCAAAUUUGAGAUUUCCAAUCUACCUGUUGUUCCUUUUUUCUCCUUCUCCUUUCCUUUUCUUUUUUCUUUUUGGGUUUUAUCUUCUCUAAUUUCUACAGCAUCAUUGGGGCCUCGAUUCUGACGAUUUCACGUUCAUUGGUCCGUCUGUCCAGGACUUGAUCGAGAAAUUUCUUCUAAUUGCCUUUGUAUAUUCCGCUGCACUGAAUCUCGAACUUGUCGACGGGAUUGGUUUCUAGGGCUUGUAGGGUGAUGAGCAGAACUUGCUGGAGCGGCCAUGGGUGCUCUGACGAGCAAUCGUAAGCGCGGUGAUGGCUAUUUCAGCUUAAGCCAUCCUUUCUCGUCUCCCUAUACCCCGGAUUCCGACUGGCGAGUUGAUCUUCAUAUAUCAAAGAAGCCCAGAAUUUCAUCCAUGCGUCUCAGUCCAGAGCGGCCCUUAUCGUCGACGAGCUCAGUAUAUAGACUUCGUCGUUACCCGGAAUUGACUCAGAGUUUCCGGAGGGAAGUUCACGCUCCUUGUAGGAGGCCUAAGUUUGGUCUUCAUUUAUUAAGUUCUGGUAAAGAAUCCUGGCAGGAGGGCAACCAAGGUAGCGGGAAACAAGAGUUGACUGAUGAGAUGGGGAAUUUCUUGUCACGGCAAUUGGAGAAGGCGAAAGUUAAUGCACUGGGUGCCAUAAAGAAUCUUGUAAAGGAGAAGGAGGUGAUAGGUGUGGAACCAGAAUCUUCCAAGGAUCUAACUUCUGAAGACUCGAGCAUAGAAGAAAUUGAAAUAUUAGAUGAUGGGCGAGCAGGACUCUCCGUCGUCUCGGACCAGAAGCAUCGUGAGUUCUAUGGGGAUGGAUUCUUGCGGGAAGCUUACGCAAAGCUCCCGUGUUAUAAGCUUCAGCAUUCCUCAUCGACGGUAUCUGAUAGGACUAAWAUAACUACACAAGUGGAUGCAGCAGAGAAGAUGGAUUCUCCAUCUGUAAGUCAUGGGGUCGAAGAGCAGGGGGAGCUUCCUCACAAAAAAUUGCACAAUUCGGCUGAGAAAAGGAAUUCCAGGUUGAGUUUUUUAGGUUUUGAGAUCCUAUUAAACGAGAAAAAGUUGGCAGCGUUAUCCUUGCAUCGUCCACCAAAGAAAUCAGAGGCUCUGCCUCGGGAACCUUUUAUUCCUCUUACUGACGAGGAAGAGGAUCAAGUCUCCAGUGCACUUUCCUUCUCUAAUAGGCGGAAAGCCUUAGUUACUCACGAGAAUUCUAAUAUUGAGAUUACUGGAGAAAUUUUGCAGUGCUUGGGACCAGGCGCUUGGCUGAAUGAUGAGGUCAUAAAUCUUUACCUUGAAUUACUGAAGGAGAGGGAAAAAAGAGAACCAAAGAAGUUUUUGAAAUGCCACUUUUUCAACACAUUUUUCUAUAAAAAGUUGAUUAGUGGGAGAAGUGGCUAUGAUUUCAAAGCUGUUAGAAGAUGGACUACUCAAAAGAAGAUAGGGUACGGCCUUAUUGAGUGUGACAAAAUAUUUGUUCCAAUUCAUAAAGAGAUACACUGGUGCUUAGCAGUUAUCAAUAAAAAGGAUGAAAAGUUCCAAUAUCUUGAUUCACUUCGAGGCGUGGAUGGUCAAGUGCUAAAUGUACUGGCUAGGUACUUUGUGGAUGAAGUGAAGGAUAAAAGUGGGAAAGAAAUAGAUGUGAGUUCUUGGAAGUAUGAAUAUGUUGAUGACCUUCCUGAACAGGAGAAUGGGUGGGACUGUGGUAUGUUCAUGAUCAAAUAUGCUGAUUUCUACAGCAGAGGUAUAGGGCUAUAUUUCAAGCAGGAACACAUGCCAUAUUUUCGGAGGAGAACUGCCAAGGAGAUUCUGAGAUUAAAAGCUGAGUAAUCCAUGAAGAUGAGCACCCAAGUUGAUAUCACCAAGCGCCUAACAUAUAUAAUGGCAUCAAUAGGGUAAGGAGAAGCGAAAAGUGAUGAGCUCACCAUGAUAGGAGAUGCCUUACUCCUGUUCAGUUGAGGUCCUGGAGUGACUUUCAUGGGGUCUGAGAUUCCACAUGUGGUUCACUUUACCUGGUAAGGCUUAAUUAUUGAUGUAGAGGGUGGGAUGGUGUGGAUUGUAUAUUCUAUGUAUUUGUGAGAGUAAUGGUGCCGGGAGGACGUAUCUGAUGUUGGAGAGACGAGAGAGAAGACUCACUCAACUUUUGGGGUCUUGUUUUUAAAGACCGAGACUUUGCUUCGCGUUGCGGUCUACCGGGCUGUUUAAAACAGCUGGGAAGGCUAUUUUCAAUGCAGAAAAUAUCAAAAGUUUCAUUUGGAUCUUCCUGAUUUUUUGGCAUUUUCAGUCUUUUUGCACGCUCAUCAUUGGGUUUUUUGGUCUCUGUGAUACUGAUAACAAACGGGGAAAAGCCAUUUUUUUGUCUUUUGAGCUUCUUGCAGACCGAAAGAAAUGCCCAAAACCACCUCAAUAAUGUUGUCAUCUUCUCAACCCCGGAUUAACAAAUAAUAUUGUCAGCUUCUCCAUUAUGACA